rnacentral:ncRNA from 2 species
UAUUUCCACAAGGGGAGCUGCAGAUUGUGGCUGAGAGUGAACGUUUGAGUUCUAACCCUAUGAACCUGUUAGUUAACACUAGCGUAGGGAUGUGGUUGCUGAUAUGA